rnacentral:rRNA from 1 species
GACGAACGCUGGCGGCGUGCUUAACACAUGCAAGUCGAACGAAGUGGCGAACGGGUGAGUAACGCGUAAUCAACCUGCCCUUCAGAGGGGGACAACAGUUGGAAACGACUGCUAUAACCGCAUACUGAAGGAGGGGUUUGCGUCUGAUUAGCUAGUUGGAGGGGUAAAGGCCCACCAAGGCGAUGAUCAGUAGCCGGUCUGGGAGGGUGGACGGGCAACAUGGGACUGGGACACGGCCCAGACUCCUACGGGAGGCAGCAGUGGGGAAUCUUCCGCAAUGGGCGAAAGUCUGACGGAGCAACGCCGCGUGAGUGAUGACAGCCUUCGGGUUGUAAAGCUCUGUUAAUCGGGACGCGGUACCGGAAUAGAAAGCCACGGCUAACUACGUGCCAGCAGCCGCGGUAAUUC